AUUGAACGCUGGCGGCAUGCCUUACACAUGCAAGUCGAGCGGCAGCGCGGGGGCAACCCUGGCGGCGAGCGGCGAACGGGUGAGUAAUAUAUCGGAACGUGUCCUGUAGCGGGGGAUAACCUAUCGAAAGAUGGACUAAUACCGCAUACGACCUACGGGUGAAAGCGGAGGACCGCAAGGCUUCGCACUAUAGGAGCGGCCGAUAUCGGAUUAGCUAGUUGGCGGGGUAAAAGCCCACCAAGGCGAUGAUCCGUAGCUGGUCUGAGAGGAUGACCAGCCACACUGGGACUGAGACACGGCCCAGACUCCUACGGGAGGCAGCAGUGGGGAAUCUUGGACAAUGGGGGAAACCCUGAUCCAGCGAUGCCGCGUGUGUGAAGAAGGCCUUCGGGUUGUAAAGCACUUUAGUUGGGGAAGAAAAGUAAUAAGUAAAUAAUUUAUUGCUCUGACGGUACCCAAAGAAUAAGCACCGGCUAACUCUGUGCCAGCAGCCGCAGUAA
rnacentral:rRNA from 1 species